UCUGGAACUAGCUGCAAGAAGA
rnacentral:miRNA from 1 species